rnacentral:rRNA from 1 species
GAUGAACGCUGGCGGCGUGCUUAACACAUGCAAGUCGAACGGAAAGGCCUCUGCUUGCAGGGGUACUCGAGUGGCGAACGGGUGAGUAACACGUGGGUGAUCUGCCCUGCACUUCGGGAUAAGCCUGGGCAACUGGGUCUAAUACCGGAAAGGACAAUGGUUUGGAUGCUGUUGUGGAAAGGUUUUCGGUGUGGGAUGAGCUCGCGGCCUAUCAUCGUGUUGGUGGGUGCCUGGCCUACCAAGGCGACGAGGGGCAGCCGGCCUGAGAUGGGGUACGGCCACAUUGGACCUGAGGUCCGGCCCAGACUCCAGAGUGCGGCAGCAGUGGGGAAUGUGGCACAAUGGGCGCUAGCCUGAUGCAGCGACGCGCCGUGGGGGAUGACGGCCUUCGGGUUGUAAACUCCUUUCCCUAGGGACGCAGCAUUUUUGUGACGGUACCUGGAGAAGAAGCACCGGCUAACUCCGUG